CGAGAGGCGAAGUGAGUUCGGUCGGUGGUGGCGUUGCCGCUGCCGCUGUGAGCAAAACAGGGUGGGUAACUCACCAACACGUUCGCAUCCGAGGGGGUCGGUCGGUGCGGUGAGCAGUGAGAUCCCCCCUUUGUUGGGUGGUGUGUGCUGGCUGCUAGCAUCCAGGGGUUGUCUCGCUCUGCCGUUCGUUAGUUCGAGUUUUUUUUGGGUUGGGGUCGGGUGGUCUCACUCUCCCGGUCGUCGGUGCACACUUGCAUCGAUGCAAUCGAGCGCAAGUGUGAGUCUGUCCGUCCGUGUUGGUGGUGGGUCUCGCUCUGGCUGGUGCCAAGACUCGUAGUAGGCUCCGAAAAAAUGCACUCGAAUCGCAUGCGCUUGCUGCGGGUUGGAUGUGGUGGUUCGUCGCUCACACCCUCGGCGGCCUGCUUGGAUGGGUGGUAAAUAUUGGUGGCAAAAAAGUGCGCUCCGAAAAAUUUUCGGCCCAGCGCGCACACUUGUGCGCGUACAGUGCUGGAAAAAAAUCGAUGCCGAUGGUGUUGGUAUGGAUGCAGUUUUCGAUUGGGUAUGAGUGAGCGGUCGGUUGGUCUGUCGCUCGGUUCGGGUGCGACUCAACUUCGGCUGGCAGAUUCUGGCUACUUUUUUCGGUCUUCCGCCGGAGAUGCACUUGUGCAUGGGAUUGGGGUGAGUGCGCCGGGUUUCCUCCGCACUAACACAGUGAGUCGUUGCUCGCGCCCUCUCGCUCUUACAAUCGCUCCUUCGGCUCGCUGCUGGUGCACACGGGAGCGGCGGUGUGCCGUUGGGAGCGGGCAGCGAGUAUUCCGGGGCACAAGAGUGCAGCUGUGUAAUAUUCAUCAUCGAAAUUUUCCCUUUAGUCGCAUAAACGCACUGCUCCGAUAUGCACCGGAACGCAAUUUCGGACGCGGCCCGAGUCGACCCGAGUGUGAGCGUCCGCCGAGUAGAGCCGAAAAUCUCUUUUUGUUAUUCCGUCGUUCCGUUUUUCCUUCAUUAGCGCCGCGCUGCACCGCCAAUAACACGGCUACACACUAAAACUACACUCUAAACAUACCAGGAAGACACAGAAUCGGGAAGGCCAGUCCAGUAGCAGAAGCAACCCUGCCUGGCGAAGAGAAGAAGUGAGAAGAGUUUCCGCGGCGCGCGCGAGUGUUCGUUCUUCAUAGCAAAAAAAUACAUAUAGUUUUUUUUAUCCGUCAUCCGGUACGUUCGCGUUAGAUAUUUGGUUGUGUCAAUUUGUGCUGUCCCGAAAGGGGAAGAAAGAAAAAUUAAUUAAGGAAAAAUCACCCAACCCCCAGCGAAGAAGUUCUGGAACGAGGAGGAAGCAAUCGCCACUACACACUACAGAGUUGUCCGCGCGCGUAGACAUCCAAGCCGAAGCCCGAAGAGAAGACACCGCCGAAUUGGAAGAAAAUCGGGCGAAAAAAAAAUCCAAUUCCGCGCCCGUCCUAGAAUGACCAGUGAUGUGAAAAAUCUGGAAUGAAAAAAAAAGCUGUGCUUCAGAGUCUAGUGAGUGAGCCUCGGUUCGGGGUGACUGUAGUCUUCAACGCCCCCUGUUAUGCUGCAGAGCAAUGCGGAGCUUCCUCGUACUCGUAGGAUUAGCCCAGGUGGUGAGACCGUUUUAUUCCUAAAAAGUUGAUGUUUUAGUUCAAGACCAAGCCAAACAAGCUCGGGCCGCGCAACAGUGAAGGAAGAAAGAGUUUUGUUCAGUUUUCGUCGUUCGUUAGUACACAGUCGCGGAGAGUGUGAUUGAUCGCCGAAGAAGAGUUCGAUCGCGUGACAGAAAGGCCAAUAGGAGGCGAUCGAAUCAAGUGAGUGUGCCGAAUGAAAGAGUGCGUGUGAAUGACGAAAAACCCCACGGUUUAGUUGAUCUCUCAUACAGUUUCCUCUUGGUUGAGUCCUUCAGUUAAUCAGUUAACCAGGCUACACGGAGGUGCGUCGUAAUACAGAAGUGGUGCGCCCAAAGAUCGUGAGUGCAAGUGAAGCCGCGUGCGCGCAGCGGACCCUGUGCGUGCAUGUGCGUACUGCGUAGUGUCGUGCCGCGCCGGUUGUAUGUGACCCAGUGGGGGGACAACCUCCACCACCGACUCCAGCAAGUCCCUGCCGGCCGCCGAUCCGAGCCGGCCCAAGCAUCAUCCUAAUGAAAAGUGGUACGUGUCUUGUGACAAAUCUAACUGUUUUAAACAACGUCUAGUGAGCUGAUCGUAAGUUAAUCAAUAAUCCUUCGAACACACGUUUGCAGUGUCCAAAAUACACAGCAUAAAUCUGUAAGAUAAGUUACAAUCCUCACAUCUUAACUGAUAGAAGGAUGUUCAAACUGUGAAGAGAAGAUGCACUGUUUCCGGUAGAAGCAAAGCAAACCAAAGAGGUAGAUUGGUUCAGUAGCGCCGAAGAAAGCGAAGUAAACAUGGAACUGAAAACAGGCGCUGUUCGGAUGAAUUCGGUUAACUAUGACCUGCAGAAAAAGGGAACCAAACAAAUUCCUUUUCGAGAAGGACUGAGGCGUGUUGUUGAGAAUGAUUUUUCGGCGAAACCAGGUAGAACAGAGCGUGUUGCUGCCACAAUAACCAACAAAUUCUGGAACAUCCUGCCUGAGAUAGUCGGCGGCUGGAUGAGUAGGUCUGUUGCAACGUGGAAGUUGCUUGGAGCUACAAGUUCGUAUUCAACGGUCGCGUUCUAUUCCAAAUUUUGACAUUUGAGCAGACUAAAUUCAAAUUUUUGAAAUUUGACAUUUCCUUCGCAGCAUCCCAAAUUCACUUUUUGAACAGUCUUGUCUAAAUAAAAUAAAAAUUUUGCACACAAUUUGGAACGAAAAUCAGUCCGUUUUAUUUUUAGACAACGUCACCAGUUGUUUUAGGCAUACAUAUUUAGAUAUACGAAGUGCAAAUGCAGUGUGAAGUGGAGUUUUGCGAAAGGCUAAUGGAUGUCUUGAAAUGGUCUAGAAUAAAGCUAUGACAAAGUCCUGCUAAAAUCCAGAAAAAAUACCCGAUUAAUCCAAUGGAUCGGAAAAGUAAAGAUUAAUUUCAUGAUGAAAACCGUCUCGACCAGGUGAUACUGAAGGAAGUUUUAGCUUAAUUUCAUGAGAAAUCCUGGGAGAAAGCUUGAAAAUAUCGACAUCUUCUUCGGGAGCUCCUCUGGGAAUUGAUUGAUGAUUUCCUCUAUGAAUUCCUUCAAAAGUUCCAUCAUUUUGCUUCCUGAAAUUUUCUUCAGGGAGGAAUUCUGAGCUUCUUCCAAGAAUUACAUUAGCAGUUCAUAAUAUUAGCUCCUCCGGGAACCCCUUCAAAUGCGCUGCCGAGAAUGUCUUUAGGAGUUUCCACAAAAAUAUCUGCCGCAGAUAUCCCGGAAAUUACUUCAGAUGCUGCUGCAGAAAUUUCUGCAUGAGUUCCACAGAGAAUUCCUUCAUGAGCUACUCAUGAAAUUCCUUCAAAGGUUUUCCGGGAAUUUCCUCAA